CGUUCAUCUGUGAUCGGUUACGGACGUCGAUGUUCGAGUGCUGUUAUCUACGGAAGUUAUUCAGGUGUGGGUUCCUCGCUUGCUGGCGAAAGAAACUUCCGGUGGAAUUCAUCACCUUCGUGUCAAGACAAUGUUACUUAUCAUUUUGUUUUCCAGCAUAAGUUCCUUCAUCUGGUGUUCCAGCGCGUUGUAUGCGCACAGUUACUUUGAUGGCGUAUCCGAAGGGUGCUGGGAAAAUAUUUCCUGUAGAGGAAACUCCAGCGCUACGUUUUCAAUGAUCCGAAAUUGUCAAUGCGACGCUCAGUG